UGGUGGAGUGAUUUGUCUGGUUAAUUCCGUUAACGAACGAGACCUCCGCCUGCUAAAUAGACAGUUCCUACCCCUGUGUAGGGCUGCGCUUCUUAGAGGGACACUGGGCCUCGCGCUCAGGGAAGUUGGAGGCAAUAACA
rnacentral:rRNA from 1 species